rnacentral:sRNA from 1 species
GCCAGUUCUGUGCGCUAUUCAGCCACAGAUAUACAAUGGGAAAGCCAAAGACAAAAGAAAGACGCUCCUCCGCAAAUGGCGUGCCGAAUACAGCUUCGGAAAUGCCUGCAAACCCCCUCACUCCCAAUGCAGAUUCGCUUCCCGACCUCUCUCUCAGCGUCCUCGCUAAAUUGAAGAGGCGUAUUGAACAAGGCUUCCAAGACCAGAAACCUCAGUCACAAAAGGAUAAAAAGGUGUCUGUGAGUGAAUUGAAACAGAAGGCAAAUGCAGGCCCGCAAUCAGAGCCUAAGGCCGUCAACAAAAAAGGGAAGAAACGCGACAGGAACGGGGAAAUAAUAGCUCCUCAAGAAGGCAAGGAAAAGCCAAGGUCCAAAUUUGACGAAAGAGGAGAAAAUGGAAACUUAUUGGAAAAUGAAAUAUACGCCAUCGGCGGAACUAAGGAGGACUAUGAUCUCCUUGUUGAUGUCGAAUCCGAUUCGGAGAUGGAAAUCUUUGAGGAUACCCCAAGGAAAUACAAUGCGAAGGCGGUUAAUGAACAUACUCUGCACAAUGACAUAGAAAAGAUGCUGAAAGGGGAUAAUCCGUCUCCAGCUCCAAAACCUGCAAGUAAGAAGGCUGUGGUUGCGGAUAUUGUCCCCAUUGAUCCCAAGCCAGCAAAGGAAUCCAAGUCACUCCAGCAGGUCAAGCCAUCAAAGGAAGCCCGAAAGCAAAAUACUCUGAAGAAGCCAAACCCGAAUCAGGAGGAGGUCUCCGUCCCUGGAAGGCUGGCGCGGCAGCGUGAUACACGAUCAUCCAGCUUGGCUAUCGACCCUCGACCAGAUUGGUAUUCCAUACCUUUGCCCGAAGUCUCUCUCGAAUCGAAAAAGUGUAGCGGCAUCUCCCGACAGAUCUGGGAUCGUAUUCGAGAAUAUGCUGCAUCGUUACUUGACUCGGAAAACCAAGCCUUUGCAACUUCACAACAAUCCUCCUCAUCCCAUAAAUUCUAUUCCACGAUCGUUUCCUCAGGGACCUUGAGUGAUAAAGUAUCGGCGUUAACACUUGCGGUACAAGAGUCACCUCUACACAAUGUAAAAGCACUGGAGAACCUUAUUGGACUGGCUAAGAAACGAAGCCGAGCUCAGGCUAUUGAGGUUCUCAGAUCUCUAAAAGAUAUAUUUGCGCAAGGCACCCUUCUCCCCAGCGAUCGGAGACUAAAAUCACUUAUCAAUCAACCGGCGUUGCUGUCUGCCUUCGACGGUGUUUCAAGUAACUGGACGUCUUCCAACCCCUUACCAAACGGGUUGGAGCGCAGCCACCUCAUUGUUUGGGCUUUCGAGGACUUUCUAAAGGAGCAAUACUUUGAGGUACUGAAAAUCCUCGAAAUUUGGUGUAACGAUGAAAUCGAGUUUUCAAGAUCCAAGGCAGUAAGCUACGUUUACGAGCUUCUGAAAGAGAAGCCAGAACAGGAAUCCAAUUUGUUACGCCUCCUGGUCAAUAAGCUUGGCGAUCCAAACAAAAAGAUAGCUUCACGGACGUCCUAUCUUCUACUUCAACUUGAGCAGGCUCAUCCCCUAAUGAAGCCAACCAUAAUAUCAGCUGUCGAAUCCAACAUUCUUUUCCGCCCAGGGCAAAGCCAGCACGCCAAGUAUUAUGCAAUUAUCACACUCAAUCAGACCAUCUUGAGAAGUGGCGAAGAAAAUGUGGCAACGAAACUUCUCGAUAUUUAUUUUGCUCUUUUCGUUACUCUAUUGAAGCCAACCAAGAGUUCGACCAGUAACUCCGAACGUAAGCAUGGGAAACACGACGCAAAAUCUAAAAAGCGACAUGGUGGCGCUGCGAUCCCAAAAGGCCAGGCUCAGGAAACUGAGUUGCAUGAGAAGUUGACUGCUGCUGUUUUGACUGGAGUCAAUCGAGCUUACCCGUUUACUAGCUCUGAUGUCGAAAAACUUUCGAAGCAUAUUGACACCUUAUUCCGUAUCACUCAUUCCUCAAAUUUCAACACGAGUAUCCAAGCCUUGGUGCUUAUCCAGCAGCUGUCGUCGUCUCACCAAGUGUCGUUGCAUCGAUUUUAUCGAACGUUAUACGAGUCCCUACUCGACCCCCGACUGUCUACAUCCUCGAAGCAAUCGAUGUACUUAAAUCUCUUAUAUAAAUCGCUGAAGGCUGACUUCAACGUUAAACGAGUUAAGGCUUUCGUGAAAAGACUAGUUCAAACCCUAUCACUACAUCACCCACCUUUCAUUUGCGGGGUAUUUUAUUUGAUAAGGGAACUUGAAAAGGCUUUCCCCAACCUGUCUGCCCUCAUGGACGAGCAAGAGAACAUCGAAGACGACGAUGAGGAGGUUUUCAGAGAUGUUCCCGAGGACGGAGAACAACCUGCUGACCAGACGCCAGUGGAUGAAGGGAAGAAGGUUGAAAAUAGAUACAACCCUCGUAAAAGAGACCCCGAACAUAGCAACGCCGAUAGAAGUUGUCUCUGGGAACUACUGCCUUACCUUGCUCAUUUCCAUCCUUCCGUGUCUGUCAAUGCUUCGCAUCUACUGCACCACGAACCGAUGUCUGGCAAGCCGGAUCUCUCUAUUCAUACUCUUACACAUUUCUUAGACCGAUUCGUCUAUCGCAAUCCCAAGGCGACUCCCAGUAUGAGAGGAGCUUCCAUUAUGCAACCGCUAGCUGGAGGCGAAAGUAAAGGCUUAUUAAUCACAUCUGGAGGAAUGGCCAAAGCCCAUGAACCAGUGAACAGGGAAGAAUUCUGGAAAAAGCAAAGCGACGAAGUCGCUGCUGAAGAUGUCUUUUUCCACGAAUAUUUCAAUCGCAUGGAAAAGGAUAACCUGCGCAAACAGAAGUCGAAAAAGAAGCCAGGUGCGCGAGACAAGGGUGGGGAUGAGAGCGAUGCUGAGUCGGAGAUUUGGAAGGCUCUUGUUCAUUCUCGACCGGAACUUGAGGGCGAGGGUGAAAGUGAGGAUGGUAUCGACAUUGAUGAUUUGGCAUCCGCCAUGGGCGAUGAAGAAGAUGAUGGGCUUGGUGACGUUGAAAUGGGUGAUAUGGAAAGCCUUGAUGAUGAUGAGGAAGCAGAGGUAAUAUUUAACGAUGAGAGUGAUGAGCCAGAGGUUGAGGUGGAGCAAAGUGGAAGGGAUGCGGCACAGUAUAUUGACAGUUUCGGAGGCUUUAUGGAUGAAGAUGCGUUUGAAAUGGACGUCUCAGAUGAAGACGCGUUCCGAGGUAGUGAUGAUGAUUUGCCUUCUGAUCUGGACAAUGGGGUUGAAGAGCUACUCGCUGAAACUUCGUGUAAAGGAAACAAAUCUACGAGUAGACAGAAGAGGAAGAAACUCAAGCAUCUUCCUGUUUUCGCGUCUGUGGAUGAUUAUGCUGCCUUACUGGCGGAUGAAAACCCGGAUGAUGGUGUAUGAUAUCCUUAUACCAUUUCCUUGGGUGCGCUAUGCAUGUUGAUGGUUGGAAUGCUAUGAUAGAUAGAUCCUUGAAAUUUUUGAACAAUUGCUAUUAUUUUAAAUUACAUUUGAAUGUAUUAGCAGCAAUGCAUUCCAAGUGCUGAAGGAGUUGGGGUAUAGAUACAAUGUCAAGUUAU